rnacentral:lncRNA from 1 species
CGGAAGUAAAGGUGGAUAGAAAACAAAAAUGACCAAUGGAGCAUAGUUUAUAACAAACUCGUUUAUCAACAUAAAAACCUUUACUGUCCACUUACCUCGGUGAGAUCCAUGAAAACAACAUAUGAAAGCAAUAACAUUAUCAUCAUCAUGAAAUCAUAUAGACUUUAUAACAUAACACUUACCACGCCUUUGCAUUUCAAUCAUUAAACAACAAAUUUUCCUUUUUUACCAGCCUACUAGUAUCCAUGGGGAUCCAUAGGGGGUCCCCGCUACCCGUGAACCAUUAAUAUUAAUAACCUGAUUCCAGGGCCGUCCCCGUACCCCGUCUGGUAUGGGCGCCAAAACCAUGAACCUCAAUACCCCGUCCGGUAUGAGGGUGAAACG